rnacentral:rRNA from 1 species
UACGUAGGGUGCAAGCGUUAAUCGGAAUUACUGGGCGUAAAGCGUGCGCAGGCGGUCUUGCAAGACAGAUGUGAAAUCCCCGGGCUCAACCUGGGAACUGCAUCCGAAACUGCCUUGCUCGAGUAUGGGAGAGGGAAGUGGAAUUUCCGGUGUAGCGGUGAAAUGCGUAGAUAUCGGAAGGAACAUCAGUGGCGAAGGCGACUUCCUGGACCAAUACUGACGCUCAGGUGCGAAAGCGUGGGGAGCAAACAGG